CUACACUGAGGGGAGACUUAAAAAGACUGGAACAAUACAGAGAAGAUUAGCAUGGCCCAUGCACAGGGAUGACAUGCAAAUUAGUGAAGUGUUCCAUAUUUUA